GACUAAGCCAUGCAUGCCUCAGAAUAACUGCUUUGCAGGAGUCUGCGCAUGGCUCAUUACAUCAGACGCAAUCUGCCGCAAAAAUCAUGCGGAACCCGCAUUAUUGGAUACCUUGUGCGAAACGCCAAGCUAAUACAUGAACUAAUGGGAUCGUCCCGAUCAACACGCCGUAGGUUUACCGAAAGCGUGGUGGCCGACCCUGCGGAUGAAUGAAAGUACAAACCAAUGCACCUCACGGUGCAGCAAAACGGAGUAGUGCUGAAUCAAUUCAUCUUUGCGAAAGCUGGCCUAGCCAGCGUUUUUUGACGAACAACUGCCCUAUCAGCCAGUGAUGGCCGUGUAGUGGACUGCCAUGGCGUUGACGGGAGCGGGGGAUUAGGGUUCGAUUCCGGAGAGGGAGCCUGAGAAAUGGCUACCACUUCUACGGAGGGCAGCAGGCGCGCAAAUUGCCCAAUGCCAAAACAAAUGAUGAGGCAGCGAAAAGAAAUAGGUGUGCCAAACGCCUUGUGUAUUUGGCGCUUUCAAUGGGGGAUAUUCAAAACCAUCCAACAUCGGGUAACAAUUGGAGGACAAGUCUGGUGCCAGCACCCGCGGUAAUUCCAGCUCCAAGAGCGUAUAUUAACGCUGUUGCUGUUAAAGGGUUCGUAGUUGAACUGUGGAGUGUGACCCCGAGAUUCUGUCCUUUUCCCACGGUCUAGGAACGUCCCGAUCACACUCCGAGAACGUCAGAAACUAAGAUCACGGAAGCGUUUUUUACAAUUUGCCACCGACUACGCGAGCAAUGUUCGCUGGUGGACGUCCGUGUUUUUUUACUGUGACUAAAGAAGUGCGACCAAAGCAGUCCAUCGACAUGAAUUAGAAAGCAUGGGAUAACAAAGCAGCAGCCUGUGAGCUACCGUUUAGGCUUUUGUUGGUUUUAAAGGUUCGUGGGAGAUUACGGGUAUGUAGGACAAGCGUUGUGGGGUCUUCGGAUCCCCUCGCCUCCUCCUGGUAUCGGAAACGGUGCUUGUGGGGCCUACUUUACUCAGGAAUGAAGGAGGGUUGCUCGGGGGAAAACGUACUUGGGCGUGAGAGGUGAAAUUCUUAGACCGCCCAAAGACGAACUACAGCGAAGGCAUUUUCCAAGGAUACCUUCCUCAAUCAAGAACCAAAGUGUGGGGAUCGAAGAUGAUUAGAGACCAUUGUAGUCCACACCACAAACGAUGACCCCCAUGAAUUGGGGAGUUUUUGUGGAGGCGUUCCCCGGCUUGUCCGGGCGGGCGUCUCGCAAUAAAGUAUUCAACCUACGUGCACGAUCUAUCCAGCCGAGAGGUAACACUCUCGGCCUUGACGGGAUCAUCCUCAGCACGUUCUCUUACUGUUUCACGCGAAAGCUUUGAGGUUACAGUCUCAGGGGGGAGUACGUUCGCAAGAGUGAAACUUAAAGAAAUUGACGGAAUGGCACCACAAGAUGUGGAGCGUGCGGUUUAAUUUGACCCAACACGGGGAACUUUACCAGAUCCGGAAAGGGUAAGGAUUGACAGAUU
rnacentral:rRNA from 1 species